UUCUCUGGAGAGCUUCCUGAGGCUGGUUUUUAUGUGCCGGUCCGUCGGGAACGCCGAAGGUGUAAGGCAGAAAGCUGCUGAUCUCUCAGGCAAAAGGACAGGGU
rnacentral:ncRNA from 1 species